UUGAAGCCGAUCACUACAAACUCCUAAAGAAAUUAAGAAAACCUCUUCCAGUGGAUAAAAUGUCAAGCGAUCUCGUCUACAAGCCUCCCACAGCGGUCCGAAUGCCGUCGCUGGACCGCGGAGCCGGAGACGGUAAACCAGCUCAGCCAGAAAUCCAGUCCACUGGUUUCUGACUGUUUACACUGGACCUAUUGGAGGACUUUCAUCUCGCGCAAACACACGCUCUGCACUCCAUGAUGUAGCCCCUUCCCAGCAUGCCUUGCGCCCGGAAGCGCCAUCCAGGCUAAAUUAUGUGUCGAUCAGAAAUUCGUGACUUGGGACGGACGACCCUUCGGCCAGCGCUGAGAAAGAAAGGAGGAAAAAGAAAGUAGUUGCGCAUUCGAGAGAGAAAGUUAAGUGUUGUUGACGAAGAACGUAAUUGCGAUGCGUGAAGAACGGGAAGUGAAAAACGCAAGCGGAACGUGAGCUAGCGCGGCUGAAGACAUGACUCUGUCCCGCGAAGGAAACCCAGCACUUUACGUCUGUUUUUCCUCCAUUCAGCUCGUCGGGAAACUCGCAAAUACAAACAGGCGACGUUUCGGCCGUGCAAAUCGUGAGCCGCAUCCGUUAACGGAUUGACAAAUUCAGGUUCUUUUACGCCGUGGAAAUAAACACAUAAGGAUGUCUCACGAAUAUCAUUGUUCGUCCAUUAAUAUCGUAACUUGUAUUUCAUUGCGUAACACUAUGC